CACGUGCUCUGGAAUGUUCCCAGACUCCGCGCUGGAAUCUGGAAUGGCCACUGUGCCUCAGGGGUGCUCACACUCUCCCAUCUUGAGGACAUACCGUACUGGAAUGGUCACUGUGCCUCAGGGGUGCUCACACUCUCCCAUCUUGAGGACAUACCGUCUGGCCCCUGAAGGGUGAGGCGAGGGGCUGACCCCUGCGCCAGGAAGAGGGGAAGGGAGCGACGGCGAAGCUGAGUCCCUGCUUUCCCAUCGAGGUCCCUGCCAGGAGUCACCUCCUCCACAACGGCUUCCGGGGUGGCUCAGGUCACAUGAUGGAUGCCAGCACCUCCGCCAACGCACCCACAGAUCAGCUCCUGCCCGUCACCUCCAAAAGGAGACACUCAGGUUGCUCUUCACCAGCUGCAGUCCACCACGGACAGUGCACCUGCUGUCUCAAGGUUUCCCAGACAGCCACAGCUGACUCCCUUUCUCUGCAUGCCACUGUCCGGCGGAUGUGUUCUCCAGGGGACAAAGUGCAGGCAAGCACCACAGGGAUUCCUUUUCCUUCCACACAAGUCUUCCUGCCCAUGCUCCCAGCCCUGACUGGCUGCCUCGCUGUGAUGUGAAAGGCACCAGGGUCAGCUCGGGAUGAAUUCAGUUGUAGGUAACAGAAAACACACACAAGAGCUCUGGAGCAGGGCUGGGCUCAGGGUUGGCUCAGGGACUCAUUCACACAGAGAUGUGCGGUUUCUGUCUGCCCUCUUCACCCUCACCAUGACCGCUUUCGUCCUCACGCCUGCCACCUCAUGGCUGCGGACUGACCUCCACAACUCCAAGCAACUCUUGCGUGUUCCACAUACAAGAAAUGUGCAGGUGCUGUGCCAACAACACUGACCCUUCUCACGAGGAAGGCAAUGUUUCAUAGCCAGUUUCCACUAUUAGUUACUGCUUGCUAUAAGGCAGCAUGGGAGCGAUGACUCUUGGCAUUUCUUUCUUUGUUUUAAGACUUAUUUAUUUAUUUGAAAGGCAAAGCUAAUGAGAGGGGGCAGAGAAAGAAAGAAAGCAAGAGAGAGAGAGAAGAAAAUCAUCCAUCUUUUGGUUCACUCCACAAAUGGCCACAACAGAUAAACCCAGGAGCUUCAUCUGAGUCUCCCACAAUGGUGGCAGAGGAACAAGCACUCAGCCCACUUGCACUGCUUUCCUAGGUGCAUUGGCAGGGAGCUGGAUUGGAAGCAGAGCAAACCUGCACCAUAUGGGAUGCUGGUGUUCCCAGGCAGCAGUUUAAUCCACGAUACACAGUGCUGCCCCACCCCCGUCAGUAUUUUCUGAUUCUGCAGUGGAGGCUGGACCAAGAAUUGGGUCAUACAAGGUAAGCCAAAGCACCCUAGAUCAUUUCUUGCAUCAUCUUUUAGAAUACGUUACAUCUCUCUAGACCGGAGGUAUUCCAAGCAUGGGGGUUGUGCCAUGGGCA